UGAACGCUGGCGGCGUGCUUAACACAUGCAAGUCGAACGAAGCACUUUAUUUGAUUUCCUUCGGGACUGAUUAUUUUGUGACUGAGUGGCGGACGGGUGAGUAACGCGUGGGUAACCUGCCUUGUACAGGGGGAUAACAGUUGGAAACGGCUGCUAAUACCGCAUAAGCGCACAGCAUCGCAUGAUGCAGUGUGAAAAACUCCGGUGGUAUAAGAUGGACCCGCGUUGGAUUAGCUAGUUGGCGAGGUAACGGCCCACCAAGGCGACGAUCCAUAGCCGACCUGAGAGGGUGACCGGCCACAUUGGGACUGAGACACGGCCCAAACUCCUACGGGAGGCAGCAGUGGGGAAUAUUGCACAAUGGGCGAAAGCCUGAUGCAGCGACGCCGCGUGAGCGAAGAAGUAUUUCGGUAUGUAAAGCUCUAUCAGCAGGGAAGAUAAUGACGGUACCUGACUAAGAAGCACCGGCUAAAUACGUG
rnacentral:rRNA from 1 species